CUUUUGAAGAGGAUCUUAAUAAUAAAAAUAAUGUUAUGUUACUAGUUAAACACUGGGAAUAAUUCCUCCAUCACAGGCAGACUGCUGAAGCCAGAAUGAACCCACCAUUCCCUGGGAGGAAUCCCCAGGGUCCCAGCAGGAUGCAUUAACAGCACAUCUCUCCAGUGAGCCGUGAUGGGAAGAGCACGGAGCAAAAAAAAGAGAACCGAAGAACCGAUCUCUCGAAGGAUCCUGGCUGGCAGCAGUAUCACCAUCUGACUGAAGAGAACUCAGCCACACGCAUAAUCCUCGGGAAAAUUCAUCUCCACCCUCCCGCAGACCCCGGUGGCACUAGAACAGAAUUGUGGGCUUUGUCCCUUGUCACUGCAAUUCCGUGUGUGCCCCAGAAUCAGCUGGGCUGAACCAGGAUUCCUGGGGUGAGGACAGGAGGGGCCAGAGGUUCAUCCUGAGAACACCCCGAGGCUGAGCUGAGCAAACGAGUCAGGCAGAAGAAUUCCACCGGUGUUGGCAAAUUCUUCUCUCUCACUGGACUUGAUGGCAGCCAGUCCCCUGUGAAUCCCUGACCUUCACACUCCACAGGCUGCCUGGGAUGGCUCACAGCAACCACAGGAGAUUUUCUCCUGUUCCUGACUGUCAGAGC
rnacentral:lncRNA from 1 species